rnacentral:rRNA from 1 species
UACGUAGGGGGCAAGCGUUGUCCGGAAUCAUUGGGCGUAAAGAGCGUGUAGGCGGCCCGAUAAGUCCGCCGUGAAAGUCCAGGGCUCAACCCUGGGAUGCCGGUGGAAACUGUCGGGCUAGAGUCCGGAAGAGGCGAGUGGAAUUCCUGGUGUAGCGGUGAAAUGCGCAGAUAUCAGGAGGAACACCAGUGGCGAAGGCGACUUCCUGGCCUGUUCUUGACGCUGAGGCGCGAAAGCUAGGGUAGCAAACGGG